rnacentral:rRNA from 1 species
GUUAGGAAUAUUGGACAAUGGGCGAAAGCCUGAUCCAGCCAUGCCGCGUGAACGAUGAAGGCCUUCGGGUUGUAAAGUUCUUUAGCCGAUGAUUAUAAUGACUGUAGUCGGAAAAUAAGCCCCGGCUAACUUCGUGCCAGCAGCCGCGGUAAUACGAAGGGGGCGAGCGUUAUUCGGAAUCACUGGGCGUAAAGCGUGCGUAGGCGGUCUCGUAAGUUAGGAGUGAAAGCCCAGGGCUCAACCUUGGAAUUGCUCUUAAUACUGCAAGGCUAGAAUCUCGGAGAGGAUAGCGGAAUUUCCAGUGUAGCAGUGAAAUGCGUAGAUAUUGGAAGGAACACCAGUGGCGUAAGCGGCUAUCUGGACGAGUAUUGACGCUGAGGCACGAAAGCGUGGGGAUCAAACAGGAUUAGAUACCCGGGUAGUCC